CCUACGGGAGGCUGCAGUGGGGAAUAUUGCACAAUGGGGGAAACCCUGAUGCAGCGACGCCGCGUGAGUGAAGAAGUAUUUCGGUAUGUAAAGCUCUAUCAGCAGGGAAGAAAAUGACGGUACCUGACUAAUAAGCCCCGGCUAACUACGUGCCAGCAGCCGCGGUAAUACGUAGGGGGCAAGCGUUAUCCGGAUUUACUGGGUGUAAAGGGAGCGUAGACGGGAAGACAAGUCAGGAGUGAAAUGCCAGGGCUUAACCCGGGAACUGCAUUGGAAACUGUAGAGCUAGAGUGAAGGAGAGGUAAGUGGAAUUCCGGGUGUAGCGGUGAAAUGCGUAGAUAUUAGGAGGAACACCAGUGGCGAAGGCGGCUUGCUGGACUGUAACUGACGUUGAGGCUCGAAAGCGUGGGGAGCAAACAGGAUUAGAUACCCCUGUAGUC
rnacentral:rRNA from 1 species